rnacentral:rRNA from 1 species
GGCUCAGGACGAACGCUGGCGGCGUGCUUAACACAUGCAAGUCGCGCGUGAAAGGGCUUCGGCCCGAGUAAAGCGGCGCACGGGUGAGUAACGCGUGGAUGAUCUACCCAUGAGUUGGGAAUAACGGCUGGAAACGGUCGCUAAUACCGAAUACGCUCCGAUUUCAACUUCGGGGGAAAGGUGGCCUCUGCUUGCAAGCUACUGCUCAUGGAUGAGUCCGCGUCCCAUUAGCUAGUUGGUGGGGUAACGGCCCACCAAGGCGACGAUGGGUAGCCGGUCUGAGAGGAUGACCGGCCACACUGGGACUGGAACACGGCCCAGACUCCUACGGGAGGCAGCAGUGGGGAAUAUUGCGCAAUGGGCGAAAGCCUGACGCAGCGACGCCGCGUGAAGGGAUGAAGGUCCUCGGAUCGUAAACCUCUGUCAGGAGGGAAGAACCGCCACGGUGCUAAUCAGCCGUGGUCUGACGGUACCUCCAAAGGAAGCACCGGCUAACUCCGUGCCAGCCGCUGC